CUUGAAUUUUGCAAUCAACCGAAGGUGUUAUACCUCUGAUAAUCUGAAGAGUGGCAGACUUCCUAAAGAUGUUUCUUACAGAUUCAUUCCACCAACUAAAAGUGGCAGAUUUCUUUUAAGUUCAUGAGACAGCAAUGGCUUGAAAUCUAAAACUCAAUUUGUUAUUUUUAGGUUUCAUUUCCGAUGGGAGUUUUGGAGGUCUUUCAGCUGGUGCCAUUGCUGGAAUAGUUAUCACAUGUUUAGUAGUACUUUCUGCAGUAGCUGGUGGAGGCUAUUAUAUUUAUAAAAAAAAAAUCGACAACAAAGCUCCGCCACAAUCUGAUAAUAAAGAAGUAGAAGAAUGUGUGUAUGAGAACAUGUCAACAUAUGAGAACCCAUCAACACAUGAGAACACAUCAAUAUAUGCGAACAUAUAAACUGAACGACCUACUUUCCCUUAAAAGCAGGCCACUUGGAGGACAAAGAACACCAAAACAAGAUGACCCAGCCAUGACAUGUUAUUGCCUUAUUGAUUUGCAUGGCAAAUGUGUGUGCAAACAUAUUCUAUUCACUCAUCCAGUACAGAUUAACCAAAGCAUUUCUGCUGCAUUUCCUGUUAAAUGCAAGUCCAAUAUUUAGCAGGUGGUUUUAUCAGAGCUUUUUUGAUGAAAACUUUAUGAGAUUGAAAGGGUUAAAAUACAAUACAAAACAUGUAGGGCUGCUGAAUUGAGUGAGAAAGGUUUUAAACUUUGGGCUCUCUUACACUUAAUGUAAUGUUAAUAUAUGAUUAUGCUUUUAUUGAUUGAAAAUAGCUAUGCUGGCUUUUUGCACAAAGACAGUUAAGUAAAAAAACAUUUUUUUGUUCUGCUAUUACUAAACAGUGGUGAAUGUGUUUACAUUUAAUUCUGGUGUUUGAUAAUUGAAGCAAUGAAAUUACUAUUUGUUAUGUGUUUUGUGUACUUUCUACAUUUCUACAGUGUAUAUCUAAUGCUUUUAUUCUCCUGUUCUCCUAUUGUGUAACAAUUGUAAACACUGCAAUGGAAACAUUGCGGGUAGGGAUAAGACAUUAUGCAAAAGAUACAUCAAAAU